rnacentral:rRNA from 1 species
GGAUUGCCCUAGUAACGGCGAGUGAAGCGGCAACAGCUCAAAUUUGAAAUCUGGCCCCCUCGGGGUUCGAGUUGUAAUUUGUAGAGGAUGCUUCGGCGUCGGCCCCGGGCUAAGUCCCCUGGAACGAGGCGCUCUAGAGGGUGAGAGCCCCGUACUCACUCGGGUGCCCUUCGCCAUGUGAAGCUCCUUCGACGAGUCGAGUUGUUUGGGAAUGCAGCUCUAAGCGGGAGGUAUAUUUCUUCUAAAGCUAAAUACCGGCCAGAGACCGAUAGCGCACAAGUAGAGUGAUCGAAAGAUGAAAAGCACUUUGGAAAGAGAGUUAAAAAGCACGUGAAAUUGUUGAAAGGGAAGCUCUUGCCGCCAGACUUGCCGCGGUUGCUCAGCCGCCCCCCGGGGCGGUGUACUCUUCCGUCGGCAGGCCAGCGUCGGUUCGGGCGACCGGAUAAAGGCCCUGGGAAUGUAGCACCCUCCGGGGUGUGUUAUAGCCCGGGGUGCAAUGCGGUCAGCCCGGUCCGAGGCACGCGUUCGCGAGGACGCUGGCGUAAUGGCUGCAAGCGACCCGUCUUGAAACACGGACCAAGGAGUCUAACAUCUGUGCGAGUGUUUGGGUCUCAAACUCAUGCGCGUAAUGAAAGUGAACGGAGGUGGGAACCCCCUCGAGGGGCGCACCAUCGACCGAUCCUGAUGUCUUCGGAUGGAUUUGAGUAAGAGCAUAGCUGUUGGGACCCGAAAGAUGGUGAACUAUUCCCGGAUAGGGUGAAGCCAGAGGAAACUCUGGUGGAGGCUCGCAGCGGUUCUGACGUGCAAAUCGAUCGUCAAAUCUAGGAAUAGGGGCGAAAGACUAAUCGAACCAU